UACGGAGGAUGCGAGCGUUAUCCGGAUUUAUUGGGUUUAAAGGGUGCGUAGGCGGCCUGCCAAGUCAGCGGUAAAAUUGCGGGGCUCAACCCCGUACAGCCGUUGAAACUGCCGGGCUCGAGUGGGCGAGAAGUAUGCGGAAUGCGUGGUGUAGCGGUGAAAUGCAUAGGUAUCACGCAGAACCCCGAUUGCGAAGGCAGCAUACCGGCGCCCUACUGACGCUGAGGCACGAAAGUGCGGGGAUCAAACAGG
rnacentral:rRNA from 1 species